AUUUUUCACAUAUUUAUUAAAUUUCUACAACCUAAGAUUUGUGAAUAAUUAAUACUGUCUAAGUAACAGAAAUGAAUUAUUUAAUGAAAUAUUUCUGAAACCUUCAUACAUGUUAAUACAUAUUAAAGAGAAAGAAGGUUCUAUGACCCAAAAAGUUUGUGAAACCCUAGGCCAGUGGUCGGCAAACUGCGGCCCCUUGAGUGUGGCUCUUCCACAAAAUACCACAUUCGGGCGCGCACAUACAGUGCGAUUGAAACUUUGUGGCCACACUCAAAGGGCCAAAGAGCCGCAUGUGGCUCACGAGCCGCAGUUUGCCGACCACUGCCCUAGGCUAAACAAAGUUUUUCAGGUUCUUGACUGCAGUAUUUCCCAGAACCUUUCAUCCAUCAUACAGGUGCAUUUAUAUUUAUCAUCUAUGCAUGCUUAAGAGAAUGGUAUACUUACGAGGCAUACAUUGGCAAUUGAUAUAAAACUUUUAUUAAAACUUACCUACUUGUCUUAAUGAUGUUCUUUAAAGCUGAUUUGUUUGUUUGCUUGUUUUUAUCCAGGAUCCAAUUAAGGAUCUCGCCUUGCAUGUGGCUGUCAUGGCCCUUUCGAAUUAAUUAAGAACAGCCUAAACAUUUUUGUCAGGAAUACUACGUAAGUGAUAAUUGCGUCCUUCUUAGUUCAACAUCAUAAGGCAAGUAUAUUGCCAGGUUAAGAUUUGUAACCAUUAUUAGGAAAAAAUUAAGAUUAAUAAAGUUCUUUAUUAAGAGUUU